rnacentral:tRNA from 1 species
AGAAAAGCAUUUUGUAAAUAAAUUAAGCUUCUAACUUAAAUUUCAAGCGGUUUAAGCCCGUUUCUUUUCUG